rnacentral:rRNA from 1 species
UACAACUCCCAAACCCCUGUGAACAUACCAAUUGUUGCCUCGGCGGAUCAGCCCGCUCCCGGUAAAACGGGACGGCCCGCCAGAGGACCCCUAAACUCUGUUUCUAUAUGUAACUUCUGAGUAAAACCAUAAAUAAAUCAAAACUUUCAACAACGGAUCUCUUGGUUCUGGCAUCGAUGAAGAACGCAGCAAAAUGCGAUAAGUAAUGUGAAUUGCAGAAUUCAGUGAAUCAUCGAAUCUUUGAACGCACAUUGCGCCCGCCAGUAUUCUGGCGGGCAUGCCUGUUCGAGCGUCAUUUCAACCCUCAAGCCCAGCUUGGUGUUGGGACUCGCGAGUUAAAUCGCGUUCCCCAAAUUGAUUGGCGGUCACGUCGAGCUUCCAUAGCGUAGUAGUAAAACCCUCGUUACUGGUAAUCGUCGCGGCCACGCCGUUAAACCCCAACUUCUGAAUGUUGACCUCGGAUCAGGUAGGAAUACCCGCUGAACUUAAGCAUAUCAAUAAGCGGAGGAAAA